rnacentral:rRNA from 1 species
UACGUAGGGUGCGAGCGUUGUCCGGAAUUAUUGGGCGUAAAGAGCUCGUAGGCGGUGUGUCACGUCGGCCGUGAAAACCUGGGGCUUAACUCUGGGCGUGCGGUCGAUACGGGCAUCACUAGAGUUCGGCAGGGGGAGACUGGAAUUCCUGGUGUAGCGGUGAAAUGCGCAGAUAAUCAGGAGGAACACCGGUGGCGAAGGCGGGUCUCUGGGCCGAUACUGACGCUGAGGAGCGAAAGCAUGGGUAGCGAACAGG